GUCAGUAGGUUAACAAGUGACACAACAAGAGGAACGCAAGCUCCAUUAAUACUCGGCGAUACUCGAGUUCUUCGAGUCUAAUGUUGACCCUGGAGUUGUCAUCCGGAGGAAACAAUCACCAUGCAGCCAUCUAGCGGAUUAAAACCUGGAUAGAUAUGGCAAGCGAAUUAUAAACAACCCAGUACAUCAUAAUACCUUAUCAUACGUCACGAGAAUCACAUAUCACAUACCUGAUAAAGCUGACAACUCAACAGCGCAGUAACCCAUACUGCAUGUAAAGCAGCAUUGGCGGCCACGAAAGUUAACCAACCGUCACAAUAAAGAACUCCAAGUCCUACAAUAAAAUAAAUUUAUUGUAAUUUUAUUCUUUGGCGGGUCAACGAGUACAAAUACCACCUACCUGCA